ensembl:lncRNA
CCCCAGGGCAGCCUGUUGCAGACUCAGACCGGUUGUUCUUCAAGCUCCUUCCCCUCACGGUGCCUUCAGGGGCUGCGGACUCGGUUCAGUUUAAACUGGCUCUGAGUCUGUCCCAGUGUGCAGUGAUCCAACAGCACCCACUCACGGCAGGAUGGAGAUCAGACCUGGAGGAGGCGCUGCGGUCCGGUCCAGACCAGGUCUUGGUCCUCGUCCAGACUCUGGUCUCGAUUCUGAAUAGAAACCUGGAGAAUAUGGACACCUUCAUCAGGCGGCACACGCUGGACUCCCUGUGUUCCUGCGUGGAGCUCGUCUCUGAGUCCGGCUCUAGUCCA